rnacentral:rRNA from 1 species
GACGAACGCUGGCGGCGCGCUUAACACAUGCAAGUCGAGCGAGAACCAUGCCUUCGGGCAUGGGGACAGCGGCGAACGGGUGAGUAACACGUGGGUAAUCUGCCCUUGACAUCGGGAUAGCCCGGGGAAACCCGGAUUAAUACCGAAUAGCCUCCGAAGCCUUCGGGCGUCGGAGAAAAGGUAGCUUCGGCCUCUGGUCAAGGAUGAGCCCGCGGCGGAUUAGCUUGUUGGCGGGGUAACGGCCCACCAAGGCGACGAUCCGUAGCUGGUCUGAGAGGACGAUCAGCCACACUGGGACUGAGACACGGCCCAGACUCCUACGGGAGGCAGCAGUGGGGAAUCUUGCGCAAAUGCGGGAAAACCGUGACGCAGCGACGCCGCGUGGGGAAGAAGCC